rnacentral:misc_RNA from 1 species
GAUGAAGAACGUAGCGAAAUGCGAUAAGUAAUGUGAAUUGCAGAAUUCCGUGAAUCAUCGAAUCUUUGAACGCACAUUGCGCCCGUCAGUAUUCUGGCGGGCAUGCCUGUUCGAGCGUCAUUACGCCCCUCAAGUCCCCUGUGGACUUGGUGUUGGGGAUCGGCGAGGCUGGUUUUCCAGCACAGCCGUCCCUUAAAUUAAUUGGCGGUCUCGCCGUGGCCCUCCUCUGCGCAGUAGUAAAACACUCGCAACAGGAGCCCGGCGCGGUCCACUGCCGUAAAACCCCCCAACUUUUUAUAGUUGACCUCGAAUCAGGUAGGACUACCCGCUGAACUUAAGCAUAUCAAUAAGUGGAGGA